GGAAGCGCUUGGUUUGCUGGUGCAGCCCUUGGUCUUCAACACCAAUGUGGGGGGUGAGAAAUUUCCCAGGCGGGUUCGAUUCCCGUGCGCUUCCGCCA
rnacentral:tRNA from 1 species